rnacentral:rRNA from 1 species
UGAGGAAUAUUGGUCAAUGGGCGCAAGCCUGAACCAGCCAUGCCGCGUGCAGGAAGACGGUCCUAUGGAUUGUAAACUGCUUUUAUUUGGGAAUAAACCUAUCUACGUGUAGAUAGCUGAAGGUACCAAAUGAAUAAGCACCGGCUAACUCCGUGCCAGCAGCCGCGGUAAUACGGAGGGUGCAAGCGUUAUCCGGAAUCAUUGGGUUUAAAGGGUCCGCAGGCGGGUUUAUAAGUCAGUGGUGAAAGCCUACAGCUCAACUGUAGAACUGCCAUUGAAACUGUAGAUCUUGAAUUCGGUCGAAGUGGGCGGAAUAUGACAUGUAGCGGUGAAAUGCUUAGAUAUGUCAUAGAACACCGAUAGCGAAGGCAGCUCACUAGGCCUG